rnacentral:rRNA from 1 species
GACGAACGCUGGCGGCGUGCUUAACACAUGCAAGUCGUACGGUAAGGCCCUUUCGGGGGUACACGAGUGGCGAACGGGUGAGUAACACGUGAGUAACCUGCCCACAACUUUGGGAUAACGCUAGGAAACUGGUGCUAAUACUGGAUAUGUGCUCCUGCUGCAUGGUGGGGGUUGGAAAGCUCCGGCGGUUGUGGAUGGUCUCGCGGCCUAUCAGCUUGUUGGUGGGGUAGUGGCCUACCAAGGCGGCGACGGGUAGCCGGCCUGAGAGGGUGACCGGCCACAUUGGGACUGAGAUACGGCCCAGACUCCUACGGGAGGCAGCAGUGGGGAAUAUUGCACAAUGGGCGCAAGCCUGCUGCAGCAACGCCGCGUGCGGGAUGACGGCCUUCGGGUUGUAAACCGCUUUCAGCAGGGACGAAGCUUUUUGUGACGGUACCUGCAGAAGAAGCACCGGCUAACUACGUG